rnacentral:rRNA from 1 species
UACAGAGGGAGCAAGCGUUGUUCGGAAUUACUGGGCGUAAAGGGCGCGUAGGCGGUCUUGUAAGUCCUGUGUGAAAUCCCUCGGCUCAACUGGGGAACUGCACGGGAAACUGCUUGGCUUGAGUUCGGGAGAGGGAAGCGGAAUUCCGGGUGUAGCGGUGAAAUGCGCAGAUAUCCGGAGGAACACCGGUGGCGAAGGCGGCUUCCUGGACCGAAACUGACGCUGAGGCGCGAAAGCUAGGGGAGCAAACGGG